ACGCUGGCGGCGUGCUUAACACAUGCAAGUCGAACGAUGAAGCCUAGCUUGCAAGGUGGAUUAGUGGCGAACGGGUGAGUAAUACGUGAGUAACCUACCUUUAACUCUGGGAUAAGCCUGGGAAACUGGGUCUAAUACCGGAUACGACCAAUCUCCGCAUGGGGUGUUGGUGGAAAGCGUUAUGUAGUGGUUAUAGAUGGGCUCACGGCCUAUCAGCUUGUUGGUGAGGUAACGGCUCACCAAGGCGACGACGGGUAGCCGGCCUGAGAGGGUGACCGGCCACACUGGGACUGAGACACGGCCCAGACUCCUACGGGAGGCAGCAGUGGGGAAUAUUGCACAAUGGGCGCAAGCCUGAUGCAGCGACGCCGCGUGAGGGAUGACGGCCUUCGGGCUGUAAACCUCUGUUAGCAGGGAAGAAGAGAGAUUGACGGUACCUGCAGAGAAAGCGCCGGCUAACUACGUGCCAGCAGCCGCGGUAAUACGUAGGGCGCGAGCGUUGUCCGGAAUUAUUGGGCGUAAAGAGCUUGUAGGCGGUUUGUCGCGUCUGCUGUGAAAGGCCGGGGCUUAACCCCGUGUAUUGCAGUGGGUACGGGCAGACUAGAGUGCAGUAGGGGAGACUGGAAUUCCUGGUGUAGCGGUGGAAUGCGCAGAUAUCAGGAGGAACACCAAUGGCGAAGGCAGGUCUCUGGGCUGUAACUGACGCUGAGAAGCGAAAGCAUGGGGAGCGAACAGGAUUAGAUACCCUGGUAGUCCAUGCCGUAAACGUUGGGCACUAGGUGUGGGGGACAUUCCACGUUUUCCGCGCCGUAGCUAACGCAUUAAGUGCCCCGCCUGGGGAGUACGGCCGCAAGGCUAAAACUCAAAGAAAUUGACGGGGGCCCGCACAAGCGGCGGAGCAUGCGGAUUA
rnacentral:rRNA from 1 species